GAUGAACGCUGGCGGCGUGCUUAACACAUGCAAGUCGAACGGGAUACCUUUUAUUGAAGCUUCGGCAGAUUUCGCUGGUUUCUAGUGGCGGACGGGUGAGUAACGCGUGGGUAACCUGCCUUAUACAGGGGGAUAACAGUCAGAAAUGGCUGCUAAUACCGCAUAAGCGCACAGAGCUGCAUGGCUCAGUGUGAAAAACUCCGGUGGUAUAAGAUGGACCCGCGUUGGAUUAGCUGGUUGGUGGGGUAACGGCCCACCAAGGCGACGAUCCAUAGCCGGCCUGAGAGGGUGAACGGCCACAUUGGGACUGAGACACGGCCCAGACUCCUACGGGAGGCAGCAGUGGGGAAUAUUGCACAAUGGGGGAAACCCUGAUGCAGCGACGCCGCGUGAAGGAAGAAGUAUCUCGGUAUGUAAACUUCUAUCAGCAGGGAAGAUAAUGACGGUACCUGACUAAGAAGCCCCGGCUAACUACGUG
rnacentral:rRNA from 1 species